GUCAAAUCCAAAAAGGACAUUAGUUGAGACUCUGAAGACCAUCCCUAUUUUGGGAAAGCUCAAGAUGGGUGGCAGCAGGACCCUGGUUCCCAUUAAGGAGGCCUGAGUUUCCAGCUGCUCUGCUCCCAUUGCAGCAAGGCAAUGGACAUUUGAAUAAGGGAAUCAAGAACCCUGCACAGCACUCCUGUUCUGGGGCCCAGGACAUUGACUACAAAGAUUGAGACUGGCAUUGGGAGAUGAGGGAAGAAGGCAUUGAAAGGGCAUCUCAAAUGGAGCCAGGAGCAGACAGCCCUCAAAGUGGGAAUCAGACAAAGGACCACCAGCCACAAUAUCAGAAAGAGGCCUGCAUGUGAUUUGGCACCAGCCACCCUAGAGUGUGGAACUCGGAGGGACCAUCACUAGGGGUCAUUGUCCAGCAGCUGAGAUACUCACAGGCCACAGGGAACAGAGGGUGAAGGAUUUGGUCAAUUUGUGUGGGGAUAAGGGUCUGAUCCUCCUCCUGCCAUGGUUUGACUGAGCUGAACAAACCGGAAACUUCUCUAGG
rnacentral:lncRNA from 10 species